UCGAGGGGCAGCGAAUCUAGCUUGCUAGAUGUCGGCGACCGGCGAACGGGUGCGUAACGCGUAUAGAAUCUGCCUUGUACAGGAGGAUAGCCUUUAGAAAUGAAGAUUAAUACUCCAUAAUGUUGGGAUGUGGCAUCGCAUUCUAAUUAAAGAUUUAUCGGUACAAGAUGACUAUGCGUCCUAUUAGCUAGAUGGUAAGGUAACGGCUUACCAUGGCAACGAUAGGUAGGGGGUCUGAGAGGAUUAUCCCCCACACUGGUACUGAGACACGGACCAGACUCCUACGGGAGGCAGCAGUGAGGAAUAUUGGUCAAUGGAGGCAACUCUGAACCAGCCAUGCCGCGUGCAGGAAGACUGCCCUAUGGGUUGUAAACUGCUUUUAUACAGGAAGAAACUGCUCUACGUGUAGAGCACUGACGGUACUGUAAGAAUAAGCACCGGCUAACUCCGUGCCAGCAGCCGCGGUAAUACGGAGGGUGCAAGCGUUAUCCGGAAUCAUUGGGUUUAAAGGGUCCGCAGGCGGUCAAUUAAGUCAGAGGUGAAAUCCCAUAGCUUAACUAUGGAACUGCCUUUGAUACUGGUUGACUUGAGUUAUACGGAAGUAGAUAGAAUAAGUAGUGUAGCGGUGAAAUGCAUAGAUAUUACUUAGAAUACCGAUUGCGAAGGCAGUCUACUACGUAUAUACUGACGCUCAUGGACGAAAGCGUGGGGAGCGAACAGGAUUAGAUACCCUGGUAGUCCACGCCGUAAACGAUGGACACUAGUUGUUGGAUUUAGAUUCAGUGACUAAGCGAAAGUGAUAAGUGUCCCACCUGGGGAGUACGAUCGCAAGAUUGAAACUCAAAGGAAUUGACGGGGGCCCGCACAAGCGG
rnacentral:rRNA from 1 species